GCCACCAUGGUGAAAUUGGUAGACACACUGCUCUAGGAAGCAGUGCGAGAGCAUCUCGGUUCAAAUCCAAGUGGUGUCA
rnacentral:tRNA from 1 species